rnacentral:rRNA from 1 species
AGGUUAAGAGGAGUGGUUAGCUUCUGCGAAGCUACGAAUCGAAGCCCCAGUAAACGGCGGCCGUAACUAUAACGGUCCUAAGGUAGCGAAAUUCCUUGUCGGGUAAGUUCCGACCCGCACGAAAGGCGUAACGAUUUGGGCACUGUCUCAACGAGAGACUCGGUGAAAUCAUAGUACCUGUGAAGAUGCAGGUUACCCGCGACAGGACGGAAAGACCCCGUGGAGCUUUACUGUAGCCUGAUAUUGAAAUUCGGCACAGCUUGUACAGG